UUGCCAGCUGUGGAUGGAGUAAGAAGGAGAAACAUAGUCUCGCCCCCAACGUUGUGGCCUUUACCCGGAGGUUUAACCAGGUCAGUUUUUGGGUUGUUCGAGAAAUUCUAACAGCACAGACUUUAAAAAUAAGGGCAGAAAUCCUGAGCCAUUUUGUGAAAAUAGCCAAGAAACUUCUAGAACUCAACAACCUUCAUUCUCUCAUGUCUGUGGUAUCAGCAUUACAAAGUGCACCCAUCUUCAGGCUGACAAAAACC